rfam:Picea glauca, whole genome shotgun sequence.
ACAUGCCUACAACAUAGCAUUAAUGCACUGGAUCCCAUUAGAACUCUGCAGUUAAGCACGCUCGGGCUAGAUUAGUACUGGGAUGGGUGACUGCUCGAGAAGUCCUACUGUUUUACAUGCC